rnacentral:tRNA from 1 species
UCUUUCGUAGGUUAAGGUGUGAUUAUUUAAAUCGUUAGUUUGUGGUACUGAAGUUCUCUAAGGUUGGGCGAAAGAA